CCCUUAGAUGUUCUGGGCCGCACGCGCGCUACACUGAAGGGAUCAGCGUGUUUUCCCUUUCCGAGAGGAACGGGUAACCCGCUGAACCCCCUUCGUGGUAGGGAUCGGAGCUUGCAAUUGUUCUCCGUGAACCAGGAAUUCCCAGUAAGCGCAAGUCAUAAGCUUGCGUUGAUUACGUCCCUGCCCUUUGUACACACCGCCCGUCGCUACUACCGAUUGAACGUUUUAGUGAGGUAUUUGGACUGGGCCUUGGGAGGUUUCGGCCUCCCUUGUUGCUCGGAAAGACUCCCAAACUUGGGCGUUUAGAGGAAGUAAAAGUCGUAACA
rnacentral:rRNA from 1 species